rnacentral:rRNA from 1 species
UGAUCAGGUUGAUAGGUCUGAGGUGGAAGCGUGGUGACACGUGGAGCUGACAGAUACUAAUAGAUCGAGGACUUAACCUA